rnacentral:misc_RNA from 1 species
GCCAGUUUUGCAUUUGUCGUCUGAUCGCUCCAUUGGGGCACCAUAACCAUCGGCACUCCGCACACCAAUGCCUCCAAUGUCGAGUUCCAUCCGCCGUGUGUCACAAAACACCCAACCGACCGGUGGUGAAGCACCUUCACCUGUGAGCACCACUCCACAACCAUCCCCAUCUCUCCUCCCUCCAUGUCCAACCCUAUCUCUUCAUCUCCUUCCCUCCCAUCUUUCCUCAACACCCAAAGAUACGGCCUCCCUGUCUGGACUAACCCCAUCAGUACCUCCUCUAUCUGCCGACUUGAUAGCUUUACCAAGCUCCCGAACGAUACAUACACAACUGAUCCAGCUUCCUUGGAGUCAAGCCACUCCAUGUAACCACUCGACUCCUCAAACAGGUUACCCUCUUUCCCAUCAUCUGUUCCGGUAGAGC